rnacentral:rRNA from 1 species
AAGUCGUAACAAGGUUUCCGUAGGUGAACCUGCGGAAGGAUCAUUAAUGUAACCGGACCGGUCCUUUGCCGUAAAAAGCAACGGAUUGGAAAGGGAGAUAUUAUACACCCUGUGUUUAUUUACCUUUGUUGCUUUGGCGGGCCGUCCUUUUAGGCGUCGGCCCCGGCUGAUCGCGCCCGCCAGAGGACCUAAACUCUUUUAUCAGUGAUGUCUGAGUAUUAUAUAAUAGUUAAAACUUUCAACAACGGAUCUCUUGGUUCUGGCAUCGAUGAAGAACGCAGCGAAAUGCGAUAAGUAAUGUGAAUUGCAGAAUUCAGUGAAUCAUCGAAUCUUUGAACGCACAUUGCGCCCGCUGGUAUUCCGGCGGGCAUGCCUGUUCGAGCGUCAUUAUAACCAAUCAAGCUCUGCUUGGUCUUGGGGCCCGCUGUACCGGCGGCCCUUAAAACCAGUGGCGGUGCCGUCUGGCUCUAAGCGUAGUAAUACUUCUCGCUACAGGGUCCAGUCGUCCACCGGUCAGAACUCCCCAACUUUCUUAGGUUGACCUCGGAUCAGGUAGGGAUACCCGCUGAACUUAAGCAUAUCAAUAAGCGGAGGAAAAGAAACCAACAGGGAUUGCCUCAGUAACGGCGAGUGAAGCGGCAACAGCUCAAAUUUGAAAUCUGCCUCUAGGCCGAGUUGUAAUUUGUAGAAGAUGCUUCGGGUGUGGCACCGGUCUAAGUUCCUUGGAACAGGACGUCAUAGAGGGUGAGAAUCCCGUACGUGACUGGCUGCCUUCGCCCAUGUGAAGCUCUUUCGACGAGUCGAGUUGUUUGGGAAUGCAGCUCAAAAUGGGUGGUAUAUUUCAUCUAAAGCUAAAUAUUGGCCAGAGACCGAUAGCGCACAAGUAGAGUGAUCGAAAGAUGAAAAGCACUUUGGAAAGAGAGUUAAACAGUACGUGAAAUUGUUGAAAGGGAAGCGCUUGCAACCAGACUUGCGCGCCGUCGAUCAUCCGAGGUUUUCCCCGGUGCACUCGGCGGUGCUCAGGCCAGCAUCGGUUUCGGUGGUUAGAUAAAGGCCUUGGGAAUGUGGCUCCUCCGGGAGUGUUAUAGCCCCGGUGCAAUGUAGCCUACCGGGACCGAGGACCGCGCUUCGGCUAGGAUGCUGGCGUAAUGGUUGUAAGCGACC